rnacentral:rRNA from 1 species
AGAGUUUGAUCCUGGCUCAGGAUGAACGCUGGCGGCGUGCUUAACACAUGCAAGUCGAACGAGAGAUACAGGAGGAAGUUUUCGGAUGGAAUCCGGUAGAUCGAGUGGCGGACGGGUGAGUAACGCGUGGGGAACCUGCCUCAUACAGGGGGAUAACAGUUGGAAACGACUGUUAAUACCGCAUAAGACCACAGAGUCGCAUGACUCAGGGGUAAAAACUCCGGUGGUAUGAGAUGGACCCGCGUUCGAUUAGCCAGUUGCGGGGGUAACGGCCCACCAAAGCGACGAUCGAUAGCCGAUUUGAGAGAAUGACCGGCCACAUUGGGACUGAGACACGGCCCAAACUCCUACGGGAGGCAGCAGUGGGGAAUAUUGCACAAUGGGGGGAACCCUGAUGCAGCGACGCCGCGUGAGUGAAGAAGUAUUUCGGUAUGUAAAGCUCUAUCAGCAGGGAAGAAGAUGACGGUACCUGAGUAAGAAGCCCCGGCUAACUACGUG